UACGGGGGGGGCAAGCGUUGUUCGGAAUUACUGGGCGUAAAGGGUUUGUAGGUGGCCAACUAAGUCAGACGUGAAAUCCCUCAGCUUAACUGGGGAACUGCGUCUGAUACUGGUUGGCUUGAGUGCAGGAGAGGAACGCGGAAUUCCAGGUGUAGCGGUGAAAUGCGUAGAUAUCAGGAGGAAUACCGAUGGCGAAGGCAGGUCUCUGGGCUGACACUGACGCUCAUGCACGAAAGCGUGGGGAGCAAACAGG
rnacentral:rRNA from 1 species